rnacentral:rRNA from 1 species
CAGGGAUUGCCCUAGUAACGGCGAGUGAAGCGGCAACAGCUCAAAUUUGAAAUCUGGCUCUUUUAGAGUCCGAGUUGUAAUUUGCAGAGGGCGCUUUGGCGUUGGCAGCGGUCUAAGUUCUUUGGAACAGGACGUCACAGAGGGUGAGAAUCCCGUACGUGGUCGCUAGCCUUCGCCGUGUAAAGCCCCUUCGACGAGUCGAGUUGUUUGGGAAUGCAGCUCUAAAUGGGAGGUAAAUUUCUUCUAAAGCUAAAUACUGGCCAGAGACCGAUAGCGCACAAGUAGAGUGAUCGAAAGAUGAAAAGCACUUUGGAAAGAGAGUCAAACAGCACGUGAAAUUGUUGAAAGGGAAGCGCUUGCAGCCAGACUUGCCUGUAGUUGCUUAUCCGGACUUUUGUCCGGUGCACUCUUCUGCGGGCAGGCCAGCAUCAGUUUGGGCGGUUGGAUAAAGGUCUCUGUCAUGUACCUCUCUUCGGGGAGGCCUUAUAGGGGAGACGACAUGCAACCAGCCUGGACUGAGGUCCGCGCAUCUGCUAGGAUGCUGGCGUAAUGGCUGUAAGCGGCCCGUCUUGAAACACGGACCAAGGAGUCUAACAUCUAUGCGAGUGUUUGGGUGUCAAGCCCAGACGCGUAAUGAAAGUGAACGGAGGUGGGAACCCUUUGGGUGCACCAUCGACCGAUCCUGAUGUCUUCGGAUGGAUUUGAGUAAGAGCAUGGCUGUUGGGACCCGAAAGAUGGUGAACUAUGCUUGAAUAGGGUGAAGCCAGAGGAAACUCUGGUGGAGGCUCGCAGCGGUUCUGACGUGCAAAUCGAUCGUCAAAUUUGGGCAUAGGGGCGAAAGACUAAU